rnacentral:rRNA from 1 species
ACACUCCUGCGGGAGGCAGCAGUGGGGAAUUUUGGACAAUGGGCGCAAGCCUGAUCCAGCCAUGCCGCGUGCGGGAAGAAGGCCUUCGGGUUGUAAACCGCUUUUGUCAGGGAAGAAAAGGUUCUGGCUAAUACCUGGGACUCAUGACGGUACCUGAAGAAUAAGCACCGGCUAACUACGUGCCAGCAGCCGCGGUAAUACGUAGGGUGCAAGCGUUAAUCGGAAUUACUGGGCGUAAAGCGUGCGCAGGCGGGUAUGCAAGACAGAGGUGAAAUCCCCGGGCUCAACCUGGGAACUGCCUUUGUGACUGCAUGGCUAGAGUACGGUAGAGGGGGAUGGAAUUCCGCGUGUAGCAGUGAAAUGCGUAGAUAUGCGGAGGAACACCGAUGGCGAAGGCAAUCCCCUGGACCUGUACUGACGCUCAUGCACGAAAGCGGGGGGAGCAAACAGGAUUAGAUACCCUGGUAGUCCCA